GGGAGAAGGCUGCUUACUCGCAAGACGGGCCAGCUGCCCAGCACCGCCUGCACCGCUCGGCAGAACAGGCCACGCGCCUCCUCCCUCGGCGCCACCGCCGCCGCCGCCGCCGCCAUCCCCGGCCAAGGCCCCACGGGGAAUCGCUCGCCGAAUCAUCGAUGGACGCCGGGCUCCCAGGCUGGCUGUGAGAGCGAGGGGGAAACGGCCGCCAGGCGAAAGGGAGCGCGCGCCGAGACAAGGAUCGCCCUCUAGCUCCCUCUCUCUCUUGUGCUGCAUCCUCACUUUGGCACCACUUUAACUGCCCUGGCUCAAUGCUACGGAAUCCUGGGAAGUGUAGUUUGUUCUGGCACUUAAACUCUCUUUUCUGACACAGAAGGCUAAAUCCUCCACCACAAAAUGGAAAUCAUAUGCAAAGUGGACUACUGGAAGGAGAAAAAUCAUUCUGGGAUGCAUUUUGAAAAAAGCUUUCAAGUGGUCUCUAGAAGAUUAAAGAGAAGCAUUCCCAUAUAUUAAAAUUUUCACACCAGUUCUGUCACCAUUAACUCCAUUGCUAUGUUAUCACCGAGUCUAUGAAGAUGACAUGUUUUUAUGGCAGCCACCAUAAAACAAUAUACAAGAGUCACAGUCUAAUUGUGACGGGACGAUGACAUCCAAACAUCACCAUUUAAAAGGCAGCGUCUUGGCCUCCUGAAAGUGUGGGAAAGCUUGGUUCACCACAAGGUUUUCCCACUCAUCGCAGCAGCUGCUGUUUUUGACCCCUGCACAUUUGGGGGUGGAACCUGUGGCGAUGGGGACAGUGGAUCUCAUAGCGUGCUUUGCCGUUCUCUGCAUUGCUAUUUUCUGCUAUCGGCUGAUAACAUUCGUGACAGCUGACUAUCCGAAGACCCUGUGGGCAAUGAGUCCAAAAAAGGGAAGGCCGCAAAGAAGCGUUGAGUUGCUCCGGGUGGAAGCCCCCAUGAAGCCUGGCGGUUCACGGGGAGAUGGAGGUAGCCAGAUCCCAUGUUAAGAAGACUCCAGCAAUGGCGAACCUCACAUUUGAAAGGAGCACUUAAUAAAUCAGAUAAUUGAAGUCA